UUAUGUGAUAUUGGAGUGAGAGAGAAAGUGAUCAGAGUAGGAAGGUGAUUGUGGUCUGGUCUCUUUGUAAAUCGUAGUGCAUCUUACGUAAAAGUUUCUACUGAGGUUUGACUAGGGUGUGGCUACAAAGGCUGCUAUCAUAUAUUGGAUCUGAAAAUAAAAAUUAGUGCAAACUCUUUCACCCUUCACUGUUAAGGGCCUAGAAGGUAUCAUAGGAGUUAAUUACAGCGGAGUUGAGAUAAGUAAGUCUGUAAGCUUUCGGUGACAAGUUGAGUCUGGGCAGCAUGGGGUGUAUCUCGUGUGAUCAUGUAACUGCGGGUGGUCUUGGCCAUCUUCCGCUGAAAGUUUUUUUUUUAAUUUAUUAAACUUAUCGAGGAUGUUGUCGUUUGAAUUUUCUAUUACUUUUCCCUAAGUGGUAAUAUUUUAUUUUCAACUGGGUACCCAUGUUUUGAAAAUUGUUAUUUUUUUUUUAAUAAAGGCAACAUUAGUAUCUUAACGCCAGUUUAUUUAUGGCA